rnacentral:rRNA from 1 species
AACGAACGUUAGCGGCGCGCCUAACACUUGCAAGUCGCACGAGAAAGGGCUUCGGCCCCGGUAAAGUGGCGCACGGGUGAGUAACACGUGGGUAACCUGCCCUCGAGCGGGGGAUAACAUUCCGAAAGGAGUGCUAAUACCGCAUAAGACCACGACCUCGAAAGAGGAUGGGGUAAAAGCUGGCCUCUGUACACAAGCUAGCACUUGAGGAUGGGCCCGCGGCGCAUCAGCUAGUUGGUGGGGUAAUGGCCCACCAAGGCUAAGACGCGUAGCUGGUCUGAGAGGAUGAGCAGCCACACUGGAGCUGAGACACGGUCCAGACUCCGACGGGAGGCAGCAGUGGGGAAUCUUGCGCAAUGGGCGAAAGCCUGACGCAGCGACGCCGCGUGAGUGAUGAAGGCCUUCGGGUUGUAAAGCUCUGUGGGGAGAGACGAAUAAGUGCAGCCUAAUACGUUGCAUGAUGACGGUAUCUCCUUAGCAAGCACCGGCUAACUCUGUGCCAGCCGCCGCGGUAACAC